GCAGCAUAUUCUCCUUCCAAAACAUCUAGUGACGCAGCCUGUGCAGGCAAAGGGGCAGCAGUACCUCCUCUUCUGGUUGCAGCCCGCAGCUAGAUUGAUUGUCCAUCAGUCUACUCGUUCUGUUGGUUCAACUCUUUACUCAGUGAUUCAGAGGCAGGUUGAAAAUUGCUGGGAAUCAGCAGCUGAUUCACUGAUAGUGUGAAUUUCCCAACCCUCAAGGCAGGAAGGUUCAUCUUUAGAAACAGCAAGAGGAAGCAUCCCAGCAGAAUCCAGAGUACAAAUGCAUGGCAGCUGUAUGCGCUGUGGACCAAUUUUCAUGUGUAGUGUUUAACUUCUGAUCUGGAAGGGGAAUUCAACACCGACGUCCCCAGAAGAUGACCGUUCUCUUGCAGGCAUCUCCAUACUGCAAAUUAGGAAGCGUUUAAAGAAGCCACACGAAACACCUCAUUGCACGCUGCACACGAGCAGCCUAAGAGCUCGAGGGGAGCGGAGGGAAGGCGUCGGGCUGACGCUUCCGACCGAAGACCGCAGCAGCAGGCAAUCGCGUGGCUCCCGGCGUUCGUAGGUCCUGGUGCCACGCCAAAAUGAUCAGAGCCGUCUACUGAUUAUUUUUUUCCAGCUUCAGAGGGAUCUCCCGAAUCCUCGGCAACCUCUCAAGCCCUAACUGAAAACACCUUAUGUCUGUUUCGUAAAAGGAAGCAAAAUGUCAAAAUAUUUAUCUUAGAAACAAAUUAUAGGACAAACGGCGCCUUGUGUAUAAUCUGUUGGGACAACAUGAUUGGAAAAAGAGGUGAUUAUGUAAAACAUAUCUUUGACUUGCACAGUUCUCUGCACUGAGGUAAAAUCUUGUAGUAAAUGAACUCUUUUUAAAUUCUA